UUGUUUGAGGGCUUUUCUCUCUUGAAGAGAC
rnacentral:piRNA from 1 species